AUUCAUUUAGUUUAAAUAAAAUAUUUUAUUUUCAAUAAAAAGAUGAUAAAUAAACCAAUGAGUU
rnacentral:tRNA from 1 species